AAAAGAAACUAACAAGGAUUCCCCUAGUAACUGCGAGUGAAGUGGGAAAAGCUCAAAUUUAAAAUCUGACAGUCUUUGACUGUCUGAGUUGUAACCUAGAGAAGUGCUACCUGUGCUGGACCAUGUAUAAGUCUCCUGGAAUGGAGUGUCAGAGAGGGUGAGAAUCCCGUCCUUGACAUGGACUGCCAGUGCAUUGUGGUGUGCUCUCAAAGAGUCGAGUUGUUUGGGAAUGCAGCUCUAAAUGGGUGGUAAAUUCCAUCUAAAGCUAAAUAUUGGCGAGAGACCGAUAGUGAACAAGUACCGUGAGGGAAAGAUGAAAAGAACUUUGGAAAGAGAGUUAAACAGUAUGUGAAAUUGUUGAAAGGGAAACAUUUGAAGUCAGUUGUGUUAGCUGGGGAUCAACCUGGCUUUUCUGCUUGGGUGUAUUUCCUGGUUGACAGGCCAACAUCAGUUUUGACCAUUAGAAAAAGACCAAGGAAAUGUGGCACCUUUGGGUGUGUUAUAGUCCUUGGUUGUAUGUGAUGGUUAGGACUGAGGCAUGCAGCACACUACUAGGCUGGGCUUUGCCACAUUUGUGCUUAGGAUGUUGGCAUAAUGGCUUUAAGUGACC
rnacentral:rRNA from 1 species